rnacentral:sRNA from 1 species
AAGGGCCGCUCGUAUUCUCCGGUUCUGAGCGCGCCGCCCGGACCCACCUGAGGAUUGCUCUCUACGUCUUCUUGGCG